rnacentral:rRNA from 1 species
GACAGAGGGCCCGAGCGUUAGGCGGAAUCACUGGGCUUAAAGCGUGUGUAGGCGGGGCGUUAAGUGCCUUGUGAAAUCCCCAGGCUUAACCUGGGAACUGCGUCGGAUACUGGAUGGCUUGAAUUCGGGAGAGGGAUGCAGAAUUCCAGGUGUAGCGGUGAAAUGCGCAGAUAUCUGGAGGAAUACCGGUGGCGAAGGCGGCAUCCUGGACCGACAUUGACGCUGAACGGCGAAAGCUAGGGGAGCAAACGGG